GACGAACGCUGGCGGCGUGCCUAAUACAUGCAAGUAGAACGCUGAAGGAGGAGCUUGCUUCUCUGGAUGAGUUGCGAACGGGUGAGUAACGCGUAGGUAACCUGCCUGGUAGCGGGGGAUAACUAUUGGAAACGAUAGCUAAUACCGCAUAAUAGUAGAUGUUGCAUGACAUUUGCUUAAAAGGUGCAAUUGCAUCACUACCAGAUGGACCUGCGUUGUAUUAGCUAGUUGGUGGGGUAACGGCUCACCAAGGCGACGAUACCGCGCCGACCGGGGAGGGGGGGCAGCCACCCUGGGACGGAGACCCGGCCCAGACGCCUUCGGGAGGCGGCAGGAGGGAAUCGUCGGCAAGGGACGGGAGACUGACCGAGCAACGCCGCGUGAGUGAAGAAUGUUGUCGGGUCGUAAAGCUCGGUUGUAAGAGAAGAACGAGUGUGAGAGUGGAAAGAUCACACUGUGACGGUAACUUACCAGAAAGGGACGGCUAACUACGUG
rnacentral:rRNA from 1 species